GAAAGAAAGAAAGAACCUCAAAAUGCAAGUGUAUAGUAAUGACUUCACUGUAGAGAUAACAUCGAAUCACCUCUAGUUUAUUAAAUAUUAUAAUAAACCAAAGAAUGGUAUUUUCACUCUUAGUCAUAAAUUACUUGCAACAUGUGUCUCAAUAACAUAAACUAACAAAAAAUUCAGUGAGAUUCAAAACUCAUAGUUCAACUAACAUCCCUGCAGUACUCACUCUUCCUUCUUUAAAAAAAUCAAUGCCAGCAACUUACACAAAAAACUCAUAAACACCAAACAGCGAUUCCUUGCCUCAAAAGUCUCUUUGGAUAUAUACUGGUAUAUCCAUCAGCUUACAAAGUUGUACUCAGUAUGUACACAUAAUUUCAUGUUCUUCUUUUCUUCACUAACUAUUUCGUCUAUACAUUCUCAUUUACUGGUAUACUCUCACAAUAUCUAGGGGCUAAAAAGAUUUUAUUAAUGAAUGUUUUUCCAUUGUGGAGUAUUGGUUGUUUCCCAUUGUUCAUUUUACAGUGCUACAAUUGAUUUUUUCAUAGAAAAAAAAAUCAAUGUUUUAUGUUUUCAUUUUGAGGUACAUUUUCCCAAGUUAAACUGUUGGAUCAAAGGGUCUAAAGGGUUUGAUGCCUUCUCACAUAGUGCCAGAUUCCUUUUCUAUAAGAAUACACAAGCUGGGCACAGUGAUUCUUGCCUGUUAUCCCAGCACUUUGGAGGCUGAGGUGGGUAGAUCACCUGAGAUCAAGAGUUCAAGACCAUCCUGGCCAACAUGGAUAAACCCUGUCUCUACUAAAAAUACAAAAUUAGCCGGGCGUGGUGACAUAUGCUGUAAUCCCAGCUACUCAGGAGACUGAGGCAGGAGAAUUGCUUGAACCCAAUGGUGGGAGGUUGCAGUGAGCCGAGUGUACCAGCACACUCCAGUCUGGGCAGCAGAGUGAGACUCUGUCUCAAAAAAUAAGAAGAAAAUACAUCUAUUGUUAGUACCACCAGCAAUAUACAAAUAUCCAGGAAUAUCCAGUCCUCUUCAUACCAAAUGGAUUUUUCUUUUCUUUUUCUAGUCCUUUGUUUUUUGUUUUUUGUUUUUUUUAGUUUCAUAGAUAUGCAACAUUACUCAAAAGAAUUGCUUUGGCCGGUGCUGUGGCUCACACCUGUAAUUCCAACACUUUGGGAGGCUGAGGCUGGUGGAUCACAAGCUCAGAUGUUCAAGGUCAGCCUGGCCAACAUGGUGAAACCCUGUCUCUACUAAAAUACAAAAAAAUUAGCUGGUCAGGGUGGUGCUCAUCUGUAAUCCCAGCUACUCAGGAGGCUGAGGCAAGAGAAUCUCUUGAACCUGGGAGGAGGAGGUUGCAGUGAGCCAAGAUGGCGUCACUGUACUCCAGCCUGGGUAACACAGAGCAAGACUCCAUCUCAAAAAAAUAAAUAAAAAAUAAAUAAAUAAAAAGAAUCGCUUUAACUCUGUAUUUCUGAAGUUGAAUUGGGGGUGUGCCCCCGCCACCCUCAAGUGUUGAGCCUCUUCACCCCGACAGCCUCCUUGCACACACAAGUAUGAACCCAAAGAGGGAAGUUUCUUAAAGACCCAAGCCCGGACGGCCGGCUCACACACACAUGUGACUGGUUUAAGGGAAAGUGUGUAGCUGGCCUGGAGCAUGGCGCGGCAACCGUUAGUUUAGUACCUGGCAAAGGGUAGACCGUCAGCAGUAGGCGCUGAACUAGCUGCGUCUUGGGAGCCCGAAGGAGUGUGUGAUGCUGUGAGCCCUUCCUCCCCGAGGCUGCAUAGCAAUUACACAUGCCUCCUGAACAGCUUUUCUUACUCUGUCUUCUGUUCUAAGUACAGCAACUACAUGUCCUAAAUCUGCUAACAUUUCAAACAGGUGGUCCGGUUGUCCCCAGAAAGUGCACCCGUUCUUUUGAGACCACAUAUCCCAAAUUUGGACUGGGGACAUGUGGUCACUACUAUUUUGAUAUGUUGGUCUCCCACGCUCCACUAGAACGCAAGCUUAUUAAGAGUAAGGACUGUCUUAUUCAUCAUUCCAAACCUAUAUCAUCCCUUUCUACAACCUACACCAUCCUUUAAUUAUAAAGUUGGUUCGACGUGCUGUCUUGUCACUUAGAGAGUUGCUAUUCUUUGAAAAUAUGGCUCCUAAAAUAGCUCCAUCUCUUUUCUCUCUUCCAGGCUCCGUGUGUGUGUGUGUGUGUGUGUGUGUGUGUGAAAAUGGGUUCCAAAAAUAUAAUUUUCUUUGAUAUGUUAUAUGUAGCAAUAGAGAAGCAAAAGGCAAUAAUAUACCCAGUAAGCACUGCCUAUCAAACUAAUUCUGAAUACUUUAUUGUCCUGCUGACAACUAAAGAAUGGUAUUUGAAAGUCACAAAUUUCACUGCUUUCACGCAGUAUGUAAAUUGAAGUUCGCAUGGCCGAUGAAAGAUAUAAGCCAGAGGUGUCAGUUAUAUAAAGAGUUUCAGUACAGUGCUAUAAAUGCAUCACUCUCAAUAAAUAUUACAAUGAUGAAAAUAGACCCGGCAUGGUGGCUCACGCCUGUAAUUCCAGCACUUUGGAAGGCCAAGGUGGGCAAAUCACAAGAUCAGAAGAUCAAAACCAUCCUGGCUAACAUGGCAAAACCCCGUCUCUACUAAAAAUACAAAAAAAUUAGCCAGGCAUAGUGGUGGGGGCCUGUAGUCCCAGCUACUCAGAAGCCUGAGGCAGGAGAAUCGCAUGAACCAGGGAGGUUGCAGUGAGCUGAGACCGUGCCACUGCACUCCAGCCUGGGCGACACAGAGAGACUCUGUUAAAAAAAAAAGAAAAAAAAGAAGAUGAAAAUACUAAACACACUUUUAGAAAUGGCAUACUAGUAUAGCAUAUUCAUACAGCAAAUUCUCUAGAGUAUCAAGAAUUCUGGCAAAUGUUUUGAUUCUCAACUCUCCACAUUCCACUGACUUUGAGAUCCCAGCACCUAACACUGUCUUCCGGAUUCCUCCUCCUACGAUGACAGGAGCCCAAAAGGCUGAUGGGAGCCUGUCUUGUUGACCUGCACAGUCUUCAAUGUGCAAGGAGACCUCAGCAUCCUCAACUUAGAGCUCAAAUUCAAGCUUUUGCGACUGGACCAAAACAGCUAGACAGUUACAUGAGGGUGAAGGGGAUAGCUACUCAUUUCUAGAAUGGUAAGUUUCACUUGCCAGGAAUUGUUUUUCAUUAUCCAGUAGGGUUUGUAAUUCUCCCUCAAAGAAUUGAAACGACAAAUGCAAGAUAAAUGAGGAAAGGGUCCUUUGGAAAAUAAACAUCCAUCAUCAGUCCCAUUUGUGGGUUCCCAGGACAGGUGGGAAUCUAGGGUAAUAUUAAACAUCUUCUGCAUCUCUUGACACAUCUGGCCCCAGCCCAGCACCUUCUGAGUCUAGAAGACUUUCCAUCUUACGGCUUUCUCUGCUGCCCCGCAGGCCUGCCUAGACAACUGUGGCUUGCCGGCAUGGAGGCCACAAAGCUGCUGAUCAACCAGUGAGUAUGUGUUCUGUCCUUUUCCCCACAUCCUGCACAACCUGAGCUCCAGACACGAUGCACAGCAGAGUGGCGCAGGCUGGGGUCUUGCAGUGCUCACUCUGAGCGCUGCUCCCAGCGGCCAAAGACCGGGCGAGGCAGCAAUGCCACUGCUAUUGGAGGAUGGAGGUGGGGGAUACGGACUGAAGUCCAGAGUGGCCCCCAGGAGCUGUCUACAUGGCAAAACCCUCCCAGCUGGCCAUCAGGAUCAGGAAAAGCAAGGCAGCAGGACCAGGUAAGGGGUAAGGAAUGACUGUGAAAGGCUGGGCCUUGGACGUCAGCAAGAGCCCCACGUGGAGAGAACCUCUGGGGCUGCAGGCAGGGUAAGCAGCAAGAGCUGAGGUGGAGUUCAGUUCUGGAGACGGGACAAGGCGGGAGAGAUGGAUCUUCACUGAGGGAUCCUGGGCUCCAAUUAUGGUCCAGUCAUUCCAUGUAUAGACCAGGCUUUUCUCUUGGCUGGCCAGAGUCCCAGGGACUAGGAUCCUGGCACUGUAUGAGACCGAAUGUUCCCUCUCCUGCGGAAUAUACUUUGAGGAAGGAGUUUUCAGGAGAAAGAGUUGGGGGUGAUAGAAAAGCUUACCAUUCAACUAGCACCCAGAAUCCACACCUGAAAUAGUAACUUAAUUCUCAUUUUUAAAAUGUUCUUUAUUUUUUUAGAGACAGGGCCUUGCUCUGUCACCCAGGCUGGAGUGCAGUGGCACCAUCAUGGCUCGCUGCAGCCUCAAACUCCUGAAGGUCCUCCCGCCUCAGCCUCCUGAGUAGCUGGGAUGAUAAGCAUGCACUAUCCUCUAGCCUCAGCCUCGCCAAGUGCUGGGAUUACAGGCGUGGGCCAAUGUGCCUAGCAGCGACUUAAUUCUAAACUUUGACAGAUUAUUAAUCAAUUUCUUAUCUUCCCCAUAUUUGUCUCAGGGAAGAGAUGGGGCAGUGUCUAAGGAACCUCAGUGGACUCGCCAGGAAAACUGGGAAGAAGCCUCAGGUAUUUGUACAUGCAUGUUCACAACAGCAUUAUUCACGGUAGCCAAAAAGUAGAAACAACCCAAUGUCAGGGAUGGAUGAAUGGAUAAAGGAAAUGUGAAUGGAUAAAGAUAAAUAGAAGACAUACAGUAGAAUGUGAUUCAGCCUUUAAAAAGAAGGGAAUUCUAAAAUAUACAAAUACAAUUAAAAUUUUUACAAAAAAAGGAUAAUCUCCCAUAUGCUAUAACAUACAUGAACUUAGAGAUAUUAUGCUAAGUGAAAUAAAAGGACAAAUACUGCAUGAUUCCACUUCUAUGAGGUAUCCAAAGUAGUUAAUGUGUAACAUAUAGAGAUAGAAAGCAGAAUGGGUGUUGCCAGGGGCUGGAUGGAGAGGGAAAGGGGACUUGUUUACUGGAUACAGAGUUGCAGGUUUGCAAGAUGAUGAGCUUCUGGAGAUGGGUUGCACAGCAUGUGGGCAUACAGAACUGAAUGGGGAGUUACUGCUGAAUGGAUACACAGUUUCAGUUUGGGAAGAUGAUGCAUAGUGGGGAUAGUUGUAGGAAAUGAAUGUACUUAGUGCCACAUCACUGUAUAUUUAACAUGGUUAAAAUGGUAGCUUUUAUGUUACAUGUAUUUUACCACAGUUAGAAAAAAAAAUUUUUUUUUUAAUUAUCAGGUAAGUUUCCUUCAAACUCAGGAAACUUUCUGUGGGGAAGCCGUCUUCCCCAACUAACAUAGCAACUCCUUAAAGUUUAGGAAAUGACAAAGGAUAAAAUAACAUGUUCCCUAGUGAAAAAUACAAAACAACAAAACAAAACUAGGAAGAGGCAGAUGCAGGGGAAAUAAUGAGGGGCUGGCACUUGCUUUUAGCUUCGUCUGUGCCAGUGGUUCCCGACGUCAGUGUGCCUCAGAAUACUGAGAGGGCUUGUGAAAAUGUGGAUUGCAUUUGUUGUUUUCUCUUUUUUUGCAUAAAAUCUUUCAGAAAAGAUGCAUUUGCAUUUCUAACAAGUUCCCAGGUGAUGCUGACUGUAAUUCAGGCACCACACUUUGAGAACUGCUGGCCUAUCCAAAUCCCUUUCAAGUAUCAAAACCAUGGUCAUAGUCAAGUUCUCAAAUUUUAGUAAGAGGAUUUUCCUGCAAUGUUUCUUGUAAUUCCAGAUUCCUAAGCCUAUAAAAAUAUGUCAUUUUAAAAGCUUUCCCACCUGAUUCUAAUACAGUAGGUGCUCAUUCCAUAGGCUAAUUAAUGCUGCCCUAAGCAUGCAUGAAUUAACCCAGUGGUUCUCAAAGUGUGGUCUGUGGGCCACCAGCCACAGUGGUCACCUGGGUACUAAUUAGAAAACCAUAUCCUCAGGCCCCACCCCUGACCUACUGAAUCAGAUACUCUAUGGGUGGAGCCUGUAGAUCUGGGUUUCAACAAGCCUUUUGGGUGGUUCCGGUUCACACUCAAGUUUGAGAAUCAUUGAGUUACAUCUUUGAAAACUCUUUUUUCAUUGAUACACUUCCUGAUGGCAAGCAAGAGCUUCCAGACAAUGGAUGGGAAGUUUCACCAUAUGCGUGACCAGGACUUGCUCUGUGCCCAGGCUGGAGUGCCGUGGCACAAUCAUGGCUCACUGCAGCCUUGAUAUCCCAGGCUCAAGUGAUCUUGCCACCUCAGCCAGUAGCUGGGACUGCAGGCAUGCACCACCAUGCCUGUCUAAUUUUUGCAUUUUUUGUAGAGAUGGGGUUUUGUCAUGUUGCCCAGUUUGGUCUCCAACUUCUGGGCUCAAGUGAUCCUUCCACCUCAGUCUCCCUAAGUGCUGGGAUUACAGGUGUGAGCCACUGUGCCCGGCUGAAAAGUUCGUUUCUAAGGGUUGAAAAGUGACAAAAGAGUAAAGAAUUUUCUUCUGCAGAGGUCUGCAUUAAAAACUAACAUGCACGACGGUGUCUUCAGCUUCACUAAUGGUGCCUGUAAGAAAUGGAUUUAAACUACAGCAAAAGGGAUUGCAUUAAAGGAAGAAAAUCUCUUGGCAAUAAGGAUGAUUAAACAGUGGGAUGAGCUAAAAUAGUUGAUUGUGGAAAAUUCUUCUCUGGAGGAUUUUGAAAGGAUGGCUUCUCAUCUGUCUGGAGUAAUGCUGGGGGAACGUCCUGAAUCCAUGAUUCUGAUGUUCACAUCUACAUAACAGCACAUUAAACUAAUACAGACUCUAUGUCCCUCAAGCUUAUAAAAGAGUGAUAAGUGGAAGCUUCCCUCGCUAUUAGACUGCUAGUAAAACAGAAUUAGCAAGUGGUGAACAGAUACAAUAUUAAUACACUCAGAAGACCUUGGUUUCAAUAGGAGGAAAGCCCAAUGUCUCUUUUGCCAGUCCCUUAAUCCUCUGUGAAUGAUUUAAGAGGCAUCAGCUGUUUCCCACAGAUUUGUCCUAUGGGAACUGCGUCUCCAAUAAAGAAAAAUAAGAAAUCAGCUUCCACCUGAUUAUGUCUCUCUGUGGUUCUGAUUUUAAGAUGCAGUUGGAAUUAGACAUCAAGGCAAAAGUUGCUAAAAAGGGAAGAUCUUAACUUGAAAAGAGAGGCAGGAAGGAAACCUCUGAACAAACACAGAUAGGAAUAGCAGCUUGAGAGGGCAUGCCUCCACCCUGGAUAUAAAGUGGGAGCUGAUACCACGCCAGGACAGAGGUAUCAGACCCAGCCGUGAACCCAGCUGGGGAUUAGGCCAGACGAGACACAGCCAUCACGGGGGUUAACUCUCUUAAGCAUUUCUGAUCCAGGAAAGACUGUCUUAGCCAGAUGCUUACAUUUUUUUCAGUAGGAGCCAUACCCAAAACUGAUGUAGAGGGCCGGGCGAGGUGCGUACACCUGGAAUCCCAGCACUCCGGGAGGCCGAGGCAGGGGGAUUGCUUGAGCCCAGGAGUUCAAGACCAGCCCGGGCAGUGUGUCAAAACCCUAUCUCUGCAAAAAAUACAAAAAUUAGUUAGGGGUGGUGGUACACAUCUGUAAUUCCAGCUACUCGGGAGGCUGAGGCACGAGAAUUGCUUGAAAUUGGAGCUGAGAUCUUGCCACUGCACUCCAGCCUGGGUGACAGAGCGAGACUUUGUUUCGAAAAAGUAAAAAAUAAAAAUAAGUUGGCCCUGAAGUCAAGCGACUUGGAUUAAAACCUUCUUCUACCACUUGACUAUAGACAUGAUUCUCAACAUCUCUGAGUCUCAGUUUCCUUAUUUGAAAUAGGAGGACUAAUUAGAAUUGGGUUAUUGAGGUGAUUUCAUGAGAUAAUGACUGUGCACGGGGCAGGUUGUGUGGUCAGCACUUGACAAAUCUUAGCUUUCCAGCAUUUUUCUACAGAACUGCAUGGCUCAACUCUCAGGUUCUCUAAAACGGUACCUUGCAAAUGCUAGGGUAAAAGCUGGCACCAGUCUGUAACAAAGUUUUCAGCAUUCAUUGGCAAAAGGGGAGAAGUGAGGAGAAUGGCAUGUGGGCAGGGUGGCAUUCGGUGGCCAGCGACAGUCUUCUAUCUUGGGAAGCUGGAAUUACAGAUGUGUACUCUUUCUUCUGAGGAUGUACAAUGUCCUUUGCUUUUGGAAGUAAUGAUCAUAGUGGAAGAUAUUGUAAGUUUCAUGUUCUUUGCAGCUUUAAGUUAGUCUUUAAUUUUUUCUUCCUGGUCCAUGAAAUCCAAGGGUCCAGGAACCGUUCUAAAGGGUGUGAGAAAAUACAAAGAGCGAUGGGUGGGACAGUGGCUCAGUGAUUCUGCCUGGUGGUCCAAGGGCAUGAGGGUUGCAGGUGUAUCUUCUACUUCUCUUACCACCACAGACUUUUCUUCGGGCCUCUCAGGUUCUUCCUUUUCAUGCUUUUUAUUCCUUCACCAAUUUCUCCCUCUCAUUGGGUGUGCUUCUAACUGUAUUCUCUCUCUUGCUUUUGCUCCAGGCUAUUUUCUCGUGUUUGUGGCAUUUCCCCUCUUUCCAUGCCCUCUUUCUCUUCCCUCUCACAUACUUUAUAUUUGUUUCUGGCUUUGCACGUGAUUCUUUUUUUUUUUAGGCCAUAGGUGUUGCAUCUUCAGGUGUGCCCGUGCACCCAGGUGACAGUGGUGGGGGACAGGUACAUGCUGUGUGCAGUGGAGCAGACACAGUUUGUUCCCUCCAGACAGGGGUUUAUGCUGAGACGGGAAAACAAACAUGGCCCUUUCCUAGUCUGUUUUCUGCUACUAAAACAAAAUACUAGAGAUUGGGUAAUUUAUAAAGAAAUGAAACUUAUUUCAUACUUCUGGAGGCUGGGGAGUCCAAGAGCAUGGUGCUGGCAUCUGGCAAGGACCUUCUUGCUGCAUCAUCAGAUGGCAGAACAGUAAGUGAGCAUCCAAGACAUAGAGAUCAAAUUGGGCCAAACUCAUUCUUUUUUUUUUGAGAUGGAGUCUCAUUCUCUUGCCCAGGCUGACUGGAGUGCAGUGGCACGAUCUCGGCCCACUACAACCUCUACUUCCCAGGUUUGAGCAAUUCUCCUGCCUCAGCCUCCCAAGUAGCUGGGCUUACAGAUGCCUGCCACCACACCUGGCUAAGUUUUGUAUUUUUAGUAGAGGUGGGGUUUCACCAUGUUGGCCAAGCUGGUCUUGAACCCCUGACCUCAAGUGAUCCUGCUGCCUCAGCCUAACAAAGAACUGGGAUUACAGGUGUGAGCCACUACACCCAGCCAAACUCAUUCUUUUAAUCAGGAAUCAACACAGGCGAUAACUCAAUAAUGGCAUUAAUCCACUCGUGAGGGCAGAGGCGCUAAUCACCUCUCUAAAGACUUCUGCCUGGUGGUCCAAGGGCACUUGUAUCUCAACAUGAGUUUUGGAGGGGCCUUCAAACCAUAGCAGCCUUUCAGAUGGUUCUCUCUGUCUCCACAUUCAUGACACAUCCUUCAUUAAUUAAAACAUUCCAGUUUAGCACUGAGGAUCAUUCCUCUGGUGGCUGCAUUUUUUUUCCGCCAGAGAGAGCCAGCUAGGCCAAUGCACCGCAGUUUGCCUGGGCCCUUCCCGGUUUUAGCACUAAAAGUCCCACAACCUGGGCAACUUCUGGCAAGCUGGGACAGUGUGUCGCCCUAGAGGUAGUGGUGAUGUACCCCUUAUUGGACUGUUGGUCAAAGAUUAGGCACCGGUAGGUCUGAAUUCAGAGAAUGAAACUGAUCAAGAGAGAUUUCUGGGAUCAUUUAACCCAGACAGGGGCUGGGAUCAUUUAACUCAGAGCAGAGAAAGCUGAGGUGGGGAUGGGAAGGGGCUAUUUUGGUAACAACCUUCACGUGUGUUUGCUGGGUGUGCUCGAAUGUGUGUCCAGCUGCGGUCCAUCUCCACCCGAAAUCAGAGCCAGAGGAAAUGGGUGGGAGUGGAGCCCGAAUUUACUCACGAAGCUGAAUUUACUCACGAAGCUGAAUUUCCUGACAGUAAGUAUUCUUAGACACUAGAAUGAGUUUCUAAGACAGAUUAGGCAUUGUCCUUGGCGGUCUUCAGCACAGUGAAUUCCUGAGGGCUUUAAAAGUUUAGGUGUGGCCCGAGAGCUGAGGGGAUGGGCAAAACAUAUUUCCAAGAUUCCUUCCAACCCUAGGACUCUGUUUCCAUCUACCCACUAAUUAUGGCUGUCAUUAUUUUUCUUGUCCUCUUUUGCCCGUAAACCUGAUGAUGAGCAAGAAAAAAAGUGGUUUGAUUAUAGUCUCCUUAAGGAACCAGCGAAGCUUCCCCAGAGCGUGAUGGAGAGGAAAGGCUGGAGCUCAGUGGCCCCAUCUUGGUUCACUGCAACCUCCACCUCCCAGGUUCAAGCGAUUCUCCUGCAUCAGCCUCCUGAGUAGCUGGGAUUACAGACACCUGCCACCAUGCCCAGAGCUGAGUGGGUUUGAAGAGGGAGUGGAGCUGAUGGCAGGUACUCAACCUACAGAAUUAACUGCGAGUGCACAGCUCCCAGGGAGAAGGCAAGCGCAGGUAAGCCCUUAGCAGCAUGUAUCCGGAGAAUCCUCAGGCUGGAGGCCCAGCUCUGUGAACUUAAAAAAAUAGAAUAGCAAAUUGUGAAGAAAACCAUUCAUCUGCUUCGCAGUUGUAUCUAGCGAUGCCUCAGCCAAAAUAAACAAUUAUUUAAAAUAAUUACCAAGUUUCCUCUUGAGUGACCAAUAAAGCAGCUGCAUGUAAUUACAGCAAUACAAAACAUCCCAUCCACUCAGACCUAUCAGAUUCCCAGGCCACCGUCUGUCUGUCAGGCUAUGCUGCUCCUCAUUGCCGACGCUUACACAGCGCUUCAGAUGUCCAAGCACUUUACAUAUUUUAACACGUUAAUCCUCACAACUGUCGUUUUCUACAGUUACUAUUCUUUUAAGAGGAUAAUAUAGUUGGCCCUCUCUGGGGGUUCUGUAUCUGUGGACUCAACCACUCUCAGAUUGGAAAUAUUCAGGAAAAAGUUGGCAUCUGUACUACAGGCAGAUCUUAUUCCUUGUCAUUAUUCCCUAAACAAUAACAUGCAGCAACUGUUACAUAGUAUUUCCAUUGUUUUAGGUAUCGUAAGUAAUCUAGAGAUGAUUUGAAGUAUAGGAGAAAAUGUAAGUUAUAUGCAAAUUUGACACCGUUUUAUCCAGGAACUGGAAUAUCCGUGGACUUUGGUAUCUGCAGGGGGUUCUGGAAACAAUCCCACAUGGAUGCUGAGGGACGAUGGUUGUAUGGCACAAAGCACUUCGGCAAUCUGCUGGAGUUCACACAGCUAGAAUAGUUCAAACAGAAUGAAUGGUUAAUAGUUCAAAUAGAAUAGAAUGGUUCAAAGCCAGGGUUCGAACCAAGGAAGACCUUCUCUAGUUUUUGCUCUUAUAAAUACAGUAUAGCACUUUGGGAGACCACCUGCGGUCAGGAGUUUGAGAUCAGCCUGGCCACCAUGGUGAGACCCCAUCUCUACUAAAAAUACAAACAUUAGCCAGGCCUGAUUGCAUGCACCUGUAAUCCCAGCUACUCAGGAGGUUGAGGCAGGAGGAUUGCUUAAGCCCGGGAGGCAGAGGUUGCAGUGAGUCAAGAUCACACCACUGCACUCCAUCCAGCCUGGGUGAAAGAACCAGACUCCAUCUCAAAAAAUAAAUAAGUAAAACAUAAAUGCAAUAUAGGUAAUAAUUGAAUUUGUGUAUUGCCCUACAGUUUCAAGAGCAUUUUCACCUGAUCUCAAUGGAUUUGACAGUCCCAUUUUGCAGUUGAGAACACUGAAGCCCAUUUGACUUAUCAGAGAGCUGCAGUUGACCUUACUGCUUUACCUAUCAAUAACACUCAUGGCCUUUGCUUUUAAGGUUUACAGCACUUUGCAGCUGUAAGCUCAGCUCUUUCACUGGUUCACUUUGAUGAUUAUGAAAAUUCAUUUCCAUAGAAUGCCAAGAAGAGGAGGCAUUAUAAAGGCAAUAGACAUAUUCAAGUGCAGAUUGUGAAUUGUUGGUUAAAACUCAGAAGGUAUUUUCCCAUAGAAACAGUGUGAGUCAUGGCAGUAGGUGUGCAGGCUAACCCACAAAUGCUAGGAUGUGCCUUACUGUUACCACAGUCACUGCAGUUCUCCAGGGCCUGGGGUGGAGAGAAACUCAGGUAUGGAGGGAGGACAGGGUGGUGGCGGUAGCCCCUUCCAUUGGAGGGCCAAGGCCUGGAGGUGGAGGGAGCCUGGGAGCAGCUGAGGAAAAGUCAAAAAUAAGCUGAGUGUUUGUGAACUGGGGGCCUGCCUGGCAUGGUUUAUACAUAGACUCUACAUAAGACUCUAUGCUGCUUAAAUACAAGAGAAUAACAUUUGCCUUAUUUAUUUAGUUUUCGUAUUUUAUUUUGUAGAGGGGGUGGGUCUCGUUGUGUUACCCCAGCUUGUCUUAAACUCCUGGCCUCAAGAAAUUCUCCCUCCUGGGCCUCCCAAAGUUUGGGAUUACAUUUUCCAUUUAAUCAAAGAGAUUUCCUGGAAUAACAGACACUCCACAUCUAAGGGAUAUGGAACCUUAGAUUCCGUGCUUAACAAGGUGGAGAGAGUUGAAUAGCAGGCCCAAGACCAGCUGAGAGCCAUUUACAGAGAGAAUAUCAUGUCCAAAUGAAGCUGCUUUCCCCAAGGAAUAUGGACCCUUUCCCUCCAGUCUUUAGGUCCCUGGCCUGUUUUGUUUUUGUUUUUGUUUCAUUUGUUUGUUUUCUGAGAAGGAGUCUCACUCUGUGGCCCAGGCUGGAGUGCAGUGGUGUGAUCUCGGUUCACUGCAACCUCCACCUCCCCAGUUCAAGUGAUUCUCCUGCCUUGGCCUCCAGAGUAGCUAGGAUCUCAGGUGUACACCACCAUGGCCAGCUAAUUUUUUUUGUAUUUUUAGUGGAGAUGGUUUUCAUCAUGUUGGCCAGGCUGGUCACAAACUCCUGAUCUCAAGUGAUCCUCCCUCCUCAGCCUCCCAACAUCCUGGGAUUACAGGCGUGAGCCCCCGCGCCUGGCGCCCGCCUUUACUCUUAACCUACAGACUUUGUACAGUUAAAUCUUUAUCUCAGGGUGAUAUUAGAAUCUCAUAUUUGGAGUGAAUGGAAUCAGUCCUUUGUAAUGAAGAUCUCAGAGUUUUACAUCUUUCCAAAAUCAGGAUCUUGCCAGCUGUAUCCAAGAUGGAAGCUGGGCAUGGUCAUAUAUUCAUUGAUUAAUUAUAAUAAUUAAACCCAUAUUAAUCACUGUUAGUCAUUCAUCUAUUCUACUCAUUCUAAAAAUUAGGAGGUGACUGCAAGUGUUUUUGUUUGUUGUUUUUUAUUUGGAGUCCAGGAUUUUCCCGGAUGUUCUACAAUUGUAGAAGAGUAAACAUUUCUAGGCAGAAAGCUGGUUUUUCUUGUUGACAGUACUCAGAAUUUGUUUUGUUUUCUGUUGUAUUUUUUCCUGAGAGAAAGUAAACAGGUCUACAACCCAACCUGCCUUCUGGCCUCAAAGCGUCACCCCUGUAUAUUAGCAGAGAGGAUCUGAUAAGAGAGCUGCCAUCUUAAAUUCUAGAAGCUUCUUGAUGACUUGACCAGAACCCAAGCCAGGGCCUGUGGUUCAGCGUAGCCCUGAAGACUGGAGUACCUUUUAAACUUUUCAAAUAAGCAAAACUCACUUGAGAGAGUUUUCUUAUUUUGAGCUUAAAAUUAACAGAAAAACAGUUGCAAUUUGAAUCAUCUGCGCCUUGCUCAGCAGCAGUUUAACUGAAUGCUCCAUGGAGCUACCCCAAGGGCAGAAGCCUCUCCCUCAAGAUAAGGCUACUCAGUGAUGAGUCACUAUGGGGUCUAGGACAUUCAUCAGUCCUCAAAAUGAUACCAUAAGUAAUAGCUGUAUGGCUGCCCAGAGUGAGAUAACUUCUUGGGACCAGAUGCCUUGCUCCAGCGUCUUGCAGGGAGUGGGAAUGGAAUGCAGGGUGGUGUUAAGGACAGGGAAGCUUGCUGUCUACUGGCUGGUGAGUGAGCUGAACCAGAGCCCUUGGACUCCCAGGAGAUGGCCAGCCGCACAGUGCAUCAGGCCAAAGACGGGGUCCUUUCUGCAGGGACAUUCCCAGGCCUUCUCUCCUGUGUUCAUUAGAGCAGAUAAGAAUCUGUAUUAGUUUUUAUCGAUGCUAUGACAAAUUACCAUGAGCUUCGUGGCUUAAAGACACACGCACAUUUAUUCCUUUGCAUUUCUGGAGUUCACAGGUUGGACCUGGGAGUCAUGGUACUAAAAUCAAGGUGCUUGGCUGGGCGCGGUGGCUCAAGUCUGUAAUCCCAGCACUUUGGGAGGCUGAGGCGGGCGGAUCACAAGGUUAAGAGAUUGAGACCAUCCUGGUCAACAUGGUGAAACCUUGUCUCUACUAAAGAUACAAAAAAUUAGCUGGGCAUGGUGGCGCAUGCCUGUAAUCCCAGCUACUCAGGAGGCUGAGGCAGGAGAACUGCCUGAACCCAGAGGCGGAGGUUGCGGUGCGCUGAGAUGGCACCAUUGCACUCCAGCCUGGGUAACAAGAGCAAAACUCCGUCUCAAAAAAAAAAAAAAAAAAAAAAUCAAAGAUGCUGGCAGGGCUGUGCUCCUUCUGGAUGUUCUUGGGAGAAUUUCUUCCUUGCCUUUUCCAGCCUUUGCAGGCUGUCUGCCUUCCCUCGCCUGGCCAUGCUGGCAUUCACAUCACUCCAGCCUCUGCUUUCUGUCCUCUUUCCUUCUCUGACUCUCCUGCUCCUUUCUUUCUCUGAGGAGGACCCUUCUGAUUAUGUUCAGAGUAACCCAAGCUAAUUUUCCCAUCUCAAGGUCCUUAACUUCAGCACACUGUGAAGUCCCUUUUGCUACAUAAGGCAACAUAUUCGCAGGUUACAGGGGUUGGGAUGGACCUCUUUGGGAGCCAUUAUUCUGCCCACCAGAUAAUUUAUAUUUCCCAAUACUUCUGUACUUUAUUAAGGUUUACCAACAUAGUCAACAGUCAGGUGCCACACUAUGAGCAUACGUUCGGAGAAAUGUGUUAUUAGGUGAUUGUGUUGUGUGAACAACACAGCAAGCACUUAUGCAAGGCUAGACGGCAUAGCCUACUACACACUGAGGCUGGACAGUCUAGUCUAUUGCUCCCACGCAACGAGCCUCUAUAGUAUGUCACUGAGUACUGUAGGCAACCCUAAUGCAAUGCUAAGUAUUCAUGUGUCUGAAUACAGAAAAAGCACAGUAAAAAUAUAGUGUUGUAAUUUUCUGGAACCACUGUUGUAUAUUCAGUACAUCAUUGAUUGAAAUGUUAUUAUGUGGCACAUAAUGUUUAGAUUUCUUUAAACAUUUUUUUAAUUAAUUUUUUUUCUUGACAUAGAGUUUCACUCUGUUGCCCAGGCUGGAGUUCAGUGGCAUGAUCUUGGCUCACUGCAACCUCCACCUCCCAGGUUCAAGUGAUUCUCCUCUCUCAGCCUCCUGAGUAGCUGGGAUUACAGGUGUGUGCCCCCACGCCUGGCUAAUUUUUGUAUUUUUGUAGAAAUGGGGUUUCACCAUGUUGGUCAGGCUGGUCUUGAACUCCUGACCUCAGGUGACCCACCUGCCUCGGCCUCCCAAAGUGCUGGAAUUACAGGCAUGAGCCAACAUACCUGGCCCUAAACAUUUAUUAUACAAUAGUAUACCCUCCUCUCCAAAUGUUUUUAAUCAGGGUUUUGAGUUGGAAAAUCUUUUUUUCCUCACUCUCCUAAACCGUCACCAUUAUUUUCCAUCAAGAUACCUAACACUGAUUCAGUGAGGCAUCUGCAACUCAGGAAAUUACUGAAAAUAUAACAGGAUUGUAACACACUCCAGAAUUAACCUGCCCUCAAGAGAGUAUUCUUAAAAUGUGCGUAACUCGACAGUCCAAACCAUACAAUAAGCUGAAUAUGGUAUGGAAAUAUUAAAUCAUAUAGAGUUGGCCGGGCACGGUGGCUCAUGCCUGAAAUCCCAGCACUUUGGGAGCCCAACAUGGGCACAUCACCUGAGCCCGUUUGUUGUUUAAGAGUAUGUUGUUUACUUUUCAUGUAUUUGCAUAUUUUUUUUUUCAGUUUUCCUUCUGGAGUUAAUUUCUGACAAUGUUCUGUUGUGAUCUGAGAAGGUACUUUUUAUUAUUUCGAUCUUUUAAAAUUUAUUGAGACUGUUUUUGUGGUCUGACCUAGAGAAGAAUGUAUUUGGUAGAAUGGUCUAUAUAUGUCUGUUGGGCUUAAUUGUUUAUAGUGUUAUGAAAAUCCUCUGUGUCCUUAUGGAUCCUCUGUUUAGAUGGUCUAUUCAUUAUUGAAAGUAGGGGCAUUGAAGUCUUCAACUAUUACUAUAGAACUGCCUAUUUCUCCCUUCAGUUCUGUCAAGCUUUGUAGUACAUGUUUUGGAGUUCUGUUAUAAGGUGAGUAUAUAUUUAUAAUUGUUAUAGCUUCUUGAUGAAUUGACCCUUUUAUCAAUGUGUAAUGACCUUUUUGUGUCUUUUAAUCAUUUUUGACUUAAAGCCUCCUUUCCUUCAUAUUGGUACAGCUACCCCAGCUCAUCUUCAGUUACCAUUUGCUUAGAAUCUCUUUUUAUAUCUUUCAUGUUCGAUCUUUUAGAUAUAAAGUGAGUCACUUGUGAAUAGCAUAUAGUUGAAACAUUUUAAAAUUAAUAGACUAUUUUCUUAGAGAAGUUUUAGGUUAAUGGAAAAGUUGAGUGGAAAGUACAGUUUCCAUAUACCUACUGUUAACAUCUUACAUUAUUAUAGUACACUAGGCUCCACUCUUUGUGUUGUACAUUCUGAGUUUCAACAAUUGUAUAAUGACAUGUAUCCACCACUAAAGUGUUACACAGAAUAGUUUCACUGGCAGUCUGCCAGUCUGUGUAUUUUAACUAGUGAGU